AACAUGUAACCACAGUUAUAGCAGCAGAUACAUGUAGACAACACAACGGCCCCUUCUAACAUAGGUUUAGAGUGGUGAAACUGCAUAGUAAUCCCAAGUCCCAAUUCCAUUUCAGGAAGUAAACUGGACCCUGUGAUUUGGUUGCAGAAAUGUGAUUACAUGCAUUCAGACGUUACACAAAUCCUGAGUUACAGGCUUGCCAGCAACCUGUAACUCUGGUUUCAUGCAAUGUCUGAAUGCAGCCAUAGUCUGGCUGCUGGUUACAUUUUUUAGCUCCACCUCUUCUUCCAGAGACUGUGGCUGUUUAAAGGGACCAACCUCUAAUCCUUAACUGCAGGCUCCUAUGGAAAGGAGGCAAUUCUUCAGCCCCUGGAGGAGGGUCAAGGUCAUCUUCCAAAUCAGAGGAUAUGGGCAAUGGAGUAUCCUUGGGGCGAGGAAUGGGUGGAGUCUCUUCGGGAACAAUUGUCUCUUUGGUUUCCUCCUCCUCAGAGCUUUCCCCAAUCUGUCCCAGUGUGGCUGGUGAGACAAAUGGUUUCCAGAAGGGAGCCCCAGGGCUGGAUUGUUCGGUUGUCUACAUGGGACUCGGAGUCCAGGGUGUUGCCUUGUCUUCUGAGCUCUCACUGCCCGCCUCUGCAUAGUGUGGUGGUGGGUUCGGGUCCAUGACAGUUGCAUCCAGAGGUUCCUUUCCCUCAAGAAAGGAGUCCUUCCUAUGGACAAAUAUCCUCCUAUUGGAAGAAGGGACCCAUUGGAUAUAACCCUAUAAUAUUUGUGUUUUAUUUACAACGCAGCUAAAGUUAUUAGGUGCUGUAAGAAAAUGAUAAAUAAAACAGCCCCUGCCCUUAGGGUAAAAAAGUAAAUCCAUGACACAUUGGUGAGGAAAGCAAAGGAAAAUCAUUCAGGAAAAGCCAGGUUGUUGCUGCUUCAUUUCCUGCUUUCCAUGCACCAUUGAUGUUGAUCGAAUAGGAUGGUUGUCUAGAUGAGUUCCUGGGAGCAAUCAGCAGUCAAUUGGUGUGGAUAUUAAACAGCUGCUGUUAGAAGAGAUGGGCACUAACCGUGAGUUCAGAGGAAGCCAUUGCCAGCCUUGGAGAGGAAUCGAGAUGGUUCCUGUGAAAGCCAUGGAUCCUUACAAAGAACUGGCUCGUUAACUAAAAGUGAUUUGCUGCCUGCUGCUUGUUUGUGCUUGUAGGCCCAGGGAGAGUAUUUUUUCAAAGCACAAUGUGAGACAGUCUGAAAACUUACUGGACUUGUUCUGAAAGAUUUGAGAUGGUCCUGCAAAAGACUCAAAAUGGUUUACAUGCAUAGCAAAAGCAAAGCAUCUCCCCAUCGCAUUCCUCUUCAGACAGAGUCCUUCACAGAAGGAUGGAGUUUUGCUCAAGACACCUUGUAAUAUACUUUUCUACCCACACCACCCCAAGCACUGUGACUGGAAAGAAGAUGAACCAAUUGCAGCAUGCUUUGAGCAGCUGUAAGCCUGAGUCAUUUAAGCAGAGAUGUCAAUCAUACCACUGUUCUUUCCCCUGCCUUGGGGUUUUACAUAUAUGGCACAUCACCAGAUUCGACAACAAAAAAGUUUUGGGACAUCAUUUGUAUUAGAGAAAAGCAUGAAAACAGUCAUCUGCUCACUGGAUAGCUGGAGUUUGAUACAGUCCAAUAUGAUACAGAAAAUAUUUUCUCAGGGGGUGUCAGUUAGUUUGCAUCAAAACCUAUACAAUGUAAAAUACUGGUGAUAGGGUUAUUCAUGAGAUUAAUUGAUGUAGGUCAUUGCUGUAUGUUCUCUCUCUCUCUCUCUCUCUCUCUCUCUUGCACAAACACACGUAUACAUGUAUAUUAUUUAUACAUUUAUUGUUGAUUAACAAACAAAUAUAAUGUGCAAGACGUUUUGGCUUCUGCCGUCUUCAUUUGCUCUGAUGUUAUAUGCAAGGUGAAGUAACAGUUGAAUGUCUGUGAUGGAGUGUUCAGCAGUCUAGGAUUAGCUGCUGUGGACAUGUCAUGCACUGUCUUUGAGGUUGAGGCUUCCUGGGGCUAGGGCACUAUCCUGAGUGCAAGGGUCCAAAAGUUCACUCUUGCUUCCAAUGUCAUGGCAUCCAAUGGCAUAUCUGUUGCAGUGACUGACAAGUUAGAUAGUCUGUCAAAAUGUUUGGCUAUUGGUUGGUCUAAUUUCUUUUUGUUAUAAUUGCAGAAUUGUGAUUACAGAAGUGUGCACACAGGUCAAUUGUGGCCUUACCCCCCGUACUGAAUAUUGCAUUCUGAUCAUUUGCACUCAAUCAGGUAGAUCACAUUACAAGAUCUGCAGUUGAUGUUCUGUUGGAUUUCAUAUGUUCUUCCAUUUCUAGUCCUCUUGAAAGGAGAUGUGUCACAGAAAUAGGUACAGGCAGUUGCGGCUGGUGAGGGUGGUGCCGGGGGAUUGGGGUGGCGAGAGGCACCUUUAAAAAUAAAUUAGCAGAUGCUUACCAGCAUUACUGCAGCACCUGCAAACUGCCUCCAGCAGCGGCACUCCACUCGGUAUACUGUGCAGGGCAGCGGUGCUGUGUGGGGCAGCGAUGUGGCCCUGUCCUCUGUGUGUGUGAGUGUGUGUGUGUGUGUGCGCGCGCGCGCGCAGAGGCCAUUUGUGUAGUCAGCAUGGUGUUGCUGACCACGCAAAUGGCCUCCACACAGAAGCUAUGACCACGCCGCUGCCCCACACACUGAAAAAACAGGCACUAGCUAUAUUUUCUUUCUGAAGAUAAAAUCCUACAACCCCGUGCACACUGGGACAUAACUGGGAGUAAACCCCGCUGAAUGCAAUGGGACUUAUUUCCAAGUGAACUAUGGAUAUUGAUUGUGCUGUUAAUCAGACUUGAAGCCCAUGUCUUUCUUUUCUUAGAUUGCCUCCUUACUUCUUAGUUUUUAAAAGUGAGAGUUUAUUCCUUCCAAAUUAGGUAGUAAAGCCAACUGAACCUAAUGCUUGUGGUGAGGUUUACAUCCAUCAAAUUUAGUGGAUUCAACUGGCUUAAUUCCGAGUAAAGGAUUUAUAAACAGUGUGAUAUCUUUGUGAGUGUUUAACAAAUCAGAUGGCUGAACAUGUUCAUUGACCAAGGAAAACACACGAAUCACCAAAUCAAGCACAUACAUUAAAUAAUAAUUCACAAUGAAAUACAAUUUAAGACUGACAUUAUUCUCUCAGUUCAUGUUAUCUGGUUCCAAAGUUCACCAAGAAAGGCAAGUGAGAGCAAACAAAUCCUGCAGAUAACCUGUACAAACUGCAAUAAUAAAAAUAAAAAGGCAACUACUAUUUGCAAACUCAAAACCAGUGCCCCACAACUUUACAAAACUGCUGACUGGGGGUAUGAAUUUGCUGGAGGUGCAUUUUGUUUACUACUGACUGGCUGGCAAAAUGGAUUUUUGAAUAAUGGCCACUUUUUCUAGUAGGAUAUAUGAAGGAAUUAAACAAGCAUAUGUUUAAAGCUGUUUUAAUCUCUGGCUUCAGAUUUCCCUACUCUUAAGUGAAAGGUUGCUGGCAUAAUUCACAUAUAGAUCACACGCUUUAAUCUUAAGUAUAUUGAUAACAGAACUGAAAGUCUUAUUUUCACCCAGACAUUUAUUAUAAAUCUGAAAUUGUAUGAUUAAUUAUGACUUAACUGAAGUCAUAAAUCAUUUAGGGUAUGAUCCAGCCCUUUCAUGCUGGCUGGAUACAGCUGCUAUUAUAUCAGCAGUAUCAUCUGUUGACAAAUUUCUGUAUUUGGGCAUUUCCUGAAUUAUGUGAGUGCAUCUGCAUGAAUUCUAAGUAAUGCAGUAGUCACACAGAAGGGAACAUAUAGUGUGAGGUGUUUCAACAAAGAAAAAUAUACUUUUGAUCUGAAAUAAUACAGGAUAUAAAAGAAGAGCAACAUGGUCUUUCUUUCUUUCUUUCUUUCUUUCUUUCUUUCUUUCUUUCUUUCUUUCUUUCAAUGCUGACUGGCAGGAUCGAUUUCUAUAUAAAGAGAAUUUCCAGGAUUCUUCAUGGGGAACAUCUGAGAACCUGAAUUACACUUUCAUUUGUUUGUUUGUUUGUGGGUGGGAGGGAGAAUAUAGUACAACGCUGAGCUUGGGAGAUAUUUUUCAACCAGAAUAAAGGGGAAACAUAAAAGAGAUAUACAAUACAUACAAUUGCAGGACACACAAAGUGCAUGUUCUGUUUUGAAAUAUAUGCAUUUAUAAGAUUAAAAUAAAUUAAGAUUGUUAAUUAAAUCAGGAAUCCAUUCUGAUUCAAGAUGGCAGAUGCAUAAAUGUUUGAGGCGCAAGUGGGUUAACUUGUGAACUGCCUGAUUUGAACCACAUUUGCUACAGAUGUAGGGAUACAUACAGACACGGCAAACACAUAGUUUGUGAUGAUGUCAUCCACCCCGUUCAAGAUGGUAGAUACAUGGACGUUUGAGGCACAAGUGGGCUAACUUAUGAACUGCCUAAUCAAUUUUGACUAAAUUUAGUGCAAUUGUAGAGAUAGUGAAAGGAAAGUAGGCAGAUUAGUUCUUACUAUCACAACUUGUUAUGUAUUUAUUUAUGUGUAUAAAACGUGUAUAUGCCUCCUUUCAAAUAAAACAAUUCCAUGAUGGUU